UACGGAGGGUGCAAGCGUUGCUCGGAAUCACUGGGCGUAAAGCGCACGCAGGCGGGACAGCAAGUCAGUUGUGAAAGCCCGGGGCUCAACCCCGGAAUUGCGAUUGAAACUGCUGCCCUUGAGUACGGGAGAGGGAGGCGGAAUUCCUGGUGUAGAGGUGAAAUUCGUAGAUAUCAGGAGGAACAUCAGUGGCGAAAGCGGCUUCCUGGUCCGAUACUGACGCUCAUGUGCGAAAGCGUGGGGAGCAAACAGG
rnacentral:rRNA from 1 species